CCUACGGGAGGCAGCAGUGAGGAAUAUUGGUCAAUGGCCGGAAGGCUGAACCAGCCAAGCCGCGUGAAGGACGAAGGUGCCAAGCAUUGUAAACUUCUUUUGUCAAGGGACAAAAUCAGGCUCGAGAGCCUGACCGAGGGUACUUGAAGAAAAAGGACCGGCUAAUUCCGUGCCAGCAGCCGCGGUAAUACGGAAGGUCCGGGCGUUAUCCGGAUUUAUUGGGUUUAAAGGGAGCGUAGGCCGGCUUUUAAGUCAGCUGUGAAAGUCCGCGGCGCAACCGUGGAAUUGCAGUUGAAACUGGAGGC
rnacentral:rRNA from 1 species